rnacentral:rRNA from 1 species
GAGUUUGAUCGUGGCUCAGAUUGAACGCUGGCGGCAUGCCUUACACAUGCAAGUCGAACGGCAGCAUGAUCUAGCUUGCUAGAUUGAUGGCGAGUGACGAACGGGUGAGUAAUACAUCGGAACGUGCCCUGUAGUGGGGAUAACUAGUCGAAAGAUUAGCUAAUACCGCAUACGACCUGAGGGUGAAAGUGGGGGACCGCAAGGCCUCAUGCUAUAGGAGCGGCCGAUGUCUGAUUAGCUAGUUGGUGGGGUAAAGGCCCACCAAGGCGACGAUCAGUAGCUGGUCUGAGAGGACGAUCAGCCACACUGGGACUGAGACACGGCCCAGACUCCUACGGGAGGCAGCAGUGGGGAAUUUUGGACAAUGGGCGAAAGCCUGAUCCAGCAAUGCCGCGUGUGUGAAGAAGGCC